rnacentral:lncRNA from 1 species
GCACGCCGGGAGGAGCUGCAGGAUAACCAGAUCCAAAAACUUGAACUUGAACUUGAACACGUGACUCAGGAACGUCAGAGCCUGAGACUGGCACAGUCACAGCUGAGAGAGGCCCUCGAAGAGAGUCGGGACCAGUGCCAAAGGAACCUUGAGAAAUUGCCUGGGCUAGAUUGAGCCUUCGAGGCUAAGGAGUCAGACCCAUCUGCUGGCAGGAGGGCUGGGCUGCCGGAGGUCUCCGUGCCCGCUGGGCUGCUCAACAUUCAGCCGCCGUCACGGCAGGAGAUGCCGCACUUAAGCGGGCUGCUGCGACGUGAGCUGGCGCCCCUUUUGUGACUUAGACGGGGACCCCCGUGAAACACACCUGGAUGAAAGUGUGGAAAAGGGAAGUAAGAGCUUCCAGGGCGCCUAGGGACCCUCUGGGUGUGUGGAGGUGAGGUGCACACAGAGCCACGGGGAGGGAG